rnacentral:sRNA from 1 species
AUUUUUGUUACUAUUAUCCAUGAAUUAUUAUUUUGUUUAACAAUAUUAAUCCAUUUUUUGCUAUAUUUUAUAGAUUACAUUUAGUAUUCCAUUUGCAUUAGCUUCCAUUAUUUCAAGCAGUUCCGGUGCCGGUCAAGGUAUUUAAUUUUAACCUCUCCUUUUGUUUCUAAUUUGAACCUACAUUCUCAUAGUAAUGCUAAUUAAAAUGUGUGAACACAAAAAACGGUAAUGGAGAGAUCAGUUUCCA